rnacentral:rRNA from 1 species
AUACGAACUGUGCAAACGUUAUUCGGAAUCACUGGGCUUAAACGGGUGCGUAGGCGGGUUGGUAGGUCAGAUGUGAAAGCCCACGGCUCAACCGUGGAAUUGCGUUUGAAACCACUAGUCUUGAGGGGAUCAGAGGAGAGCGGAACUGAUGGUGGAGCGGUGAAAUGCGUUGAUAUUAUCAGGAACACCGGUGGCGAAAGCGGCUCUCUGGGAUCCUUCUGACGCUGAGGCACGAAAGCUAGGGGANCGAACGGGAUUAGAUACCCCUGGUAGUCCACACCGUAAACGAUGAAUGCCAGUCGUCGGCAAGUAUACUUGUCGGUGACACACCUAACGGAUUAAGCAUUCCGCCUGGGGAGUACGGUCGCAAGAUUAAAACUCAAAGGAAUUGGACGGGGCCCGCACAAGCGGU